GACGGAGGGUGCUAGCGUUGUUCGGAAUUACUGGGCGUAAAGGGCGCGUAGGCGGCCUUCUCAGUCGGGUGUGAAAGCCCGGGGCUCAACCCCGGAACGGCACCCGAGACGGGUAGGCUGGAGACCGGGAGAGGAGGGUGGAAUAGCCAGUGUAGAGGUGAAAUUCGUAGAUAUUGGCUGGAACACCGGUGGCGAAAGCGGCUCUCUGGCCCGGUUCUGACGCUGAGGCGCGAAAGCGUGGGGAGCAAACAGG
rnacentral:rRNA from 1 species